rnacentral:rRNA from 1 species
GUGAGACGGUAGCAGAGAGAGCUUGCUCUUGGGUGACGAGUGGCGGACGGGUGAGUAAUGUCUGGGGAUCUGCCCGAUAGAGGGGGAUAACCACUGGAAACGGUGGCUAAUACCGCAUAACGUCGCAAGACCAAAGAGGGGGACCUUCGGGCCUCUCACUAUCGGAUGAACCCAGAUGGGAUUAGCUAGUAGGCGGGGUAAUGGCCCACCUAGGCGACGAUCCCUAGCUGGUCUGAGAGGAUGACCAGCCACACUGGAACUGAGACACGGUCCAGACUCCUACGGGAGGCAGCAGUGGGGAAUAUUGCACAAUGGGCGCAAGCCUGAUGCAGCCAUGCCGCGUGUAUGAAGAAGGCCUUCGGGUUGUAAAGUACUUUCAGCGGGGAGGAAGGCGACGGGGUUAAUAACCCUGUCGAUUGACGUUACCCGCAGAAGAAGCACCGGCUAACUCCGUGCCAGCAGCCGCGGUAAUACGGAGGGUGCAAGCGUUAAUCGGAAUUACUGGGCGUAAAGCGCACGCAGGCGGUCUGUUAAGUCAGAUGUGAAAUCCCCGGGCUUAACCUGUGGAACUGCAUUUGAAACUGGCAGGCUUGAGUC